GCACAGUUCAAUUAUUGUUUCAUUACAGAAUAUGCAAUCUCUGCAGUGAAAUUAAAGCUGUUAUGUUUGUUCCCCCAGUUCGUCAAGUACUAAACUUUUCACCCCCAGCAGAAAAUGUACCCUGGCAGCAAAUGGGUGAAAAGGCUGGAGGAGAAAGUCAUCGCUCCAUUAUUGGCCCUUGGACUCCCCUGGCAUCGCAUGUACAGCAUGAAGUUUUCAGCAAUGAAGUUUUCCAGAACGAGAACCAAGCUCUGAGGGAGGAGAACCAAGCUCUGAGGGAGGAGAACCAAGCUCUGAGGGAGGAGAACCAAGCUCUGAGGGAGGAGAACCAAGCCGUGAGGGAGGAGAACCAAGCCGUGAGGGAGGAGAACCAAGCCGUGAGGGAGGAGAACCAAGCCCUGAGGGGAAGCCAUGCACGAGCAGCUUUGUAUGACAGCGGCUCGCUUCAAGAGCAGGUGAAGCAAUUUGGGA
ensembl:lncRNA